ACAAAUCUUUGAGCGAAAGCUCACUAACCUUUGUGAAUAGGCUUGCGCAAGCAAGUUAGAUGGGUCGAGGGGGCGAAGAGUGACUAAAGCAAUUUAGCGUCUCGUAGCCACAUUAAUAUUGUCUGAUUACGUUUGGAAGUCGCAAGAUUUCUAAUAAUAAUA
rnacentral:misc_RNA from 1 species